GUUGGUUAAUAGGCUGCUGAUUUUCUCCUUGUGUCCAUCACUCCAGCAGUUGUGCUUGGUCUGAAAGGAAUGAAGGGAUACUUUCCCAGUGGUCACCCAAUGGACAGGAGGUCCACGUGUCUGGUUAAACCACAUCACCAUGACACGACAAAUGGGCCCAAGUUCCUUCAACAAGCAAGUCAAAUCCUGCUACCUAUAAAAACAACCCCAUACCUGGCAGAAGUUCUCUUCGCCCCUGCAGAUGGUGUUGCAGUUGGUGGUGUUGCUUACAAAGAUGAGAUAAAAAUAUAUCAGCCUUGCUACAGGAAGGGCAUUGGCACCAUCUCAGACUCAGACUAUGGCUGGAGCUUUUGGGGUCAGGGGAAGUCUUUCAGCUCUCACUCCCAGAAGCAAAACAGCAGCCAUCAGACAGCCGAGACUGCCAGCCCCCAGCUGUCCCGCAAGAACGAAGGCUGAGAGAACUUGGUCUGCAGAAGAGAAGGCUAAAAGGGGCAUCUAACUGCUGUCGUGACUACCUGCUGGAUAGUUACAAGGAAAAUGAAGACACUUUCUGGGAAGUCAAUAGCAAAAGAGGCAACAGAGAUGAAUCACAAAAAGGAAAUUCUGAUUAGGAAAAAAUCCUCACAAUGAAGGUGGCCAAACAUCAAAACAAGUUGUCCAAAGGACUUGUGGAGACCAUUCUGCAUGGUGGAGUUCACAGCAAUGCAACUACUCUGCAGAGAUUCUCCCAGGCACUCGGUGCUCCCUUGGUCAUCCCCAGCUUCAGCAGCCAUUCUUCGGAACGUAUUAGUGAAGAGAGAUUUGUUGCCAUGCUGCAUUACACCAUUUUUUUUUCCCUCCAGCUAUUAUAUUACUUGCUAGGCUGUUGAAAAGAAGAAGCAAAAAUACAGCUCAAACUACCAGCAUUCUUUGCCACAAACCUGUAUCAACAGCAGCUUGUCCUGGCCGUUGAGCUCAUCUCUCAAAUCUGUAAAGCCUAACUCUGGCAAAUCUGUUCACAGCAUGUUUAGCUUAAAUCCUUCAAGCAUUACUAUUGUAAAUUAGGAAGUAUUCUGAAGUGCUUCAGUGAUACAUUUAACUGGGGCCUAAAGAAACGAGUAAAUAAGAUAUAAGGCGGAAAAGAAUGUGUCCUUGAUUUGAGUGUUUUCCCUGUUGUUUAGGAUAAUGCAUUUUAUCACUGAAUAAUUUCUGAUCUUUGCAAAACACUAUGGAAAUUGCUUGUUGACACAGUGUCAGAGCUGAGAUGUUUAUGUUUUCCUGGUGCUUUUAAUCUGUCGCAAAUCUUUGGCAACAAUAUCUUUGAGGCUGGGGAAAAUGUGUCUGAAAUUGUAUUGACAUUGCAAAUGGAUUUACAAGCUUGUCCUUUAAAAUCUUCUUUCCACUUUGUGCUUUACUGCUUACAGUAGAGUGGCAAUAUUCUGGAUAACUUCAGAAAUACAUAUAGUGGUUUGAAUGCAAACUGUGUAUUCCGAGACCAAGUUUCCAUCUCAGCAUCACUGCAACCACCAUUUUUGUAUACUGAGAUAUAGGUGAUGCCAUAUGCUAUGUCUGCUAUUUCAUCUCACUGAGUAACACUGUAGACAAACAGAGAACAACUAAGAGCAUCAGCAAAAUCAUUUCAUACUAAAGACAGCAUUUCUAUGAUGCAACACGUGGAGACUGUUCCUACUUUUCAUGUGGAAUUUCACAGUACAGCCAUGCAAUAAGGAAACCACUGGGUCGCCAAAUGACUCACUGCAUCACUUGGUAAUAAACAAAUGCUUGCUUCAUAAAAUGCAUCUUUCUACUAAAUUCCUGCCUUGAGAGUUUUAUGUAGCUGUAAAAAUUUGCUGAAAAAGCUCUGAGAUGUACAGAGUGAUACUAGUUUGAAUUACAGCUUCCCUAUUCAAAUAGCCUUACACUAUUCCUCUGAAAAGUUGCUUUAUCAGAAAUGGGAUCUUUGUUUCACACAGAUGACAUGUGAACACACUGGCUUGGAGGAGAAUAGAUUCCAUAUAGCUUUUCUGGUUAUGAACAUGAUGAGACUGCAAGUAUUUCACUCCUACUACAGACUCAGGGCUCCAGUUUUGCCUGCUACGUGUCCUUUGAUAUGGAUUGAUAAUAAGAAAUAUCUCCACUUCACUGAUUUCUGGUUUUUUUUCUAACUCCUCUCAUAUCUGCUGCUAACCCAUUAGUGAAAGAAAGAAUAUAAAUAAUGAAUGAGCCAUUACAAUGCAGGAUCCUAGUGAAAGACUGCAAGAAACUCAGACUUUUCCAGGGAAGGCUAACAUGAUUCAUACCGUACGCUUGCAUAAUAUUGGCGGCUAUAAGACUUAGGAGGAAUUAUUUUAACAGUUUGUUGUUCUCACAUAUCUUUAAAUAUUUGUCAUUGUGGGUCUCAGGGGAAGCCCAUGUUUAAGUUGGACAAGAGUUGUACGGAUAAAUCAUUACUGCUAGCAGAUCAUUCAGGACCAUCCACUUCCAUAGUCAGGCUCUAUUACUCACCAGUUCUAGCGCCAGCUGAAGACACCAAGGCACGGCUUCAUGCUGGAAUAUCACUGGAAUCUUUGAAUAUUACUGGAUCUCUGAGUAGUGCCCAGAGCUGCCUAUGGAGCCACAUAGGCCACAGAUUUCUGAAAUUUGAAAACCUUCACAGUUGUGAAUUUUCCAGCUGUUCUGUUUCAUAGAUUUAUUUACCCAUUUUGCAACUCUUCAAAAUUAAACUAAAUAUAAAACUGAUGUGUCACUGCCAAAUCCAAAAUCAAAGCAUUUAUUGUGAAAAUAUCAAGAUUAAACUUUUAAUCUUUGAUUCCUUCCCUCUUGGCUUUUCCAGAUGAGACAAUUAAGGAAAUUCAUUUGAAGUUCCCAUGUACUCUUGCUGCCUUGACUUGUUCAGAGAAUUUACUAUUUAGAAUCAAAAUGGUGUUCCUCCGAAGCAGUGCAAAGCAAUCCUUCCUCUGCAGCCAAGACAUUCUGCAAAACUGAGAGCCAAAAGGGCUCCCAAUAGGCAGUCCACUCUCAUGCUGUCCCACAUAAGCAAUCACAUGUUGCACAUAUUGAAACAUUUGCAGUUCUAAUUGUAGGAGUUUUCAAGUAAACACCUUGAUUUCAUGUUUUAUUUUUUUUUGCAUUGUUGUUUAAAAUUUGAGUUCUCCUUCACAGUGUUGCAAACACAAACACAGCCACGCAGAACAAUACUUCCGUGGAACAGAAUUUGUGUAAUUUGGCUACCCAGACAACUGGGUAAGCCCAAUUACACAAAUGCAAGGAGCUGGAAUCUCUAGGGUCUUCCAUGGGGGGAGAGCCCUGCGUGCGAACGGAUUGGCACUUGUCUUGCUCCAUCCUUUUUUCAUGUGUCAUUCCAGAAAGCAGAACCAGACUACAAACUCAUGCCGUGGCUCCACAGCCAGCUGAGGCCGAGAAGCCUGAGGAGUUUCUUUUAUGCGCCUAGCAUGAGCCUGUAUAUUAAAGCCAUUAACAUCACAGAUGAUAGCCUUCAUUGUGCCUCAAUCACGGAAUGGGUAAAUGAUGGUAUCACUGUGCAAAGAAAAUCUGUUCUUCCUGAGGUCUCUAGGAUGCACAUGGGCGCAGCCUGAUAUUGUCCAGGGAAGGCAGUACCUCUGGAAGACCUACAUUAAGCUCCUCUUAGACACUGCCUAAUGCCCAUAUUUGUGCCAAUAACUCAUGCAAUAGUUAUGAACAGCAAACUGGGAUUGUUAAAAUGGGGUGAUUUUUCUCGUCACGGAAUUAUUUUGAUUACUCCUGCCAUGAGAUUGUUACAUGGCACUGGAAGCCAAGAGAGGAAUGGAGUUCAAAAUCCUGCGCUCUAUUCUAAAAGCGCUGUUUAUUUUAAUAACUAUGAGCUCCAUGUGAGGACUGUAACACCAAAUAACAUGAAGAAAAUUCUGUGGCAGACAGGCCCUGUGCUGAAACCCACACAGCCAUGCCAGCUGGUUUCUGAAGGAUAUUUACCUAGGCUUUCAGCAUUUUCCUGAUGUUCUUCAGAUGCUGUCAGUAGUUGAAAGCUUUAUUCAGUGUGCCUCCAAUAGUGCUGUGCUCCAACAUUCCGCCGAGUUCAGUGGUUUGGAUGCAAACACAGCCGACCAUCUACAACAAAGCCUUGCAGAAUUUCAUGAGCUGAUCCCAAACAAAAAUCAGUUAUUUCCAAGUAGCAGCGUCUCAUCAUGCAAUAUAUACGAGCAAAGAAAUAAAAAGACAGUCACUUCAUGCCCAGGAAAUACCCAGUGGAAGUCAUAUGCAUAUGCAGAAUAGAAGAUAACUGUGAGGCCAGCAUGUCAGUGCAUCACAUGUAUAGUGCAUAAAUUAUAUGGUUAGCCUGACUUCACACAGUAAGUGGGUUUACCACGCGUUGUGCAGUUCAUCUGGGCAACAUAUGCUCCAAAGUUCUAAUUCUGUGGAAGUACUGCAUACUCUGUGGGGCUGAUCUGCUGUGCAUGGUGAAUGUGUCUGGGAUCUCUAGGUAUCCAGCAGCUCAGGCUGAGCUGCUAUUCUGGUCAGGCUGUCCCAGACAACUGUCAGCAUUCUGCUCCUAUGAAAUACCAGGACCAAGAAAAGGGCCUGUCUGUGAAAACCAGAUGCAUGGUAGGUAAGAGGAAAAAAAUAUAUUACAUUCCUGUGUAUUACAUUUUGUUACUGACCUUACACCAGAUCUCCAGACUGUUAAGUCUCCUCCUCAAGACCUAUGAGAUGUAUAUUUAUAGAAGAAAAUAUCAAAGCAUACAGAAAUAACACAGUAACCUGAACUGUUAAGUAAAUGUCAAUUAAAGUUAAAUAAAAAGUCAAUGUAAAAUUAAAAAAAAAAAAGAAAAGAAAGCUUUAAAUAACAUAGAACUACAAUUCUAGAAAUGUUCCUAAGCAGAAAAAAAUUGAUACCAUUGUCAGAUCAGGAAGAACGGGCUGAACAACCAACGUGUGCAGUUCACAGAGACUGAGCUCAAAGAAGUGCGCAUUCAUUGUUCUGCAUACAGCUGUGGCUGUUCCUUUUUCGAUAUCCUUUCUCCUUCACAACUGGAGCUACACUGCCCAUGUUGCAAGGGAGGUGUUCCUGAGAAGUUACGUGAGUGUGGCGAAGCAGGUCACUUGAAGAUGACAUGUUCUGGGCCACUAACCCCAUUCAUCCACCCAGGAUUCCUUUUCCUUCAGAUACCGUCUAGUGUUACGGCGCUCGGUGUUGAUUGCCAGGGCACUCGACAUUUGGUUGUUGUCUGAUGAGAGCAACUAACUGGAAUGCUCCCUCUGAGAAAACCUAUUGACAUAUAUGGGCUCUGUUGUAUCUUUGCAUACGUAGUUAAUACGCCCUGAAACCUGACAUAAGGAAAACUCACCAAAUGCUGUUUGGAUGUAGCACAAACGUAACUCUUCUUGCUUCAUUAAACAUUCACUCAUAACUUGCAAUUCAAUUCCAUCACCUGAAAUAAAAUACUUGAGACAACUGUAAACUAAAUGUCAGGCCUCUUUCUUGUCAUAGAAGAAGCCUUUUCCAUUCAGCAGAAUUAAUCAACUUAUCUUACUUGAAAAAUAUUUUUUUUCUGGAAACCUCCCAGAGAGUUUGCUUUGUGAGGCCAUCUCCCAGCAAUUCAAUAGGAAACAAUACGGGGUGAUUCAGAUGGGAAGGAUCAAACAAUGGGAUAUAAAUCCUGAUAUAAGACUGCAGAUGUUUUAAAUACAAAUAUUUUUAACCCUAAUACUCAUCCGUGUUAUACCGAUGAUAUGAACUGGCAGAAUGAGAGACUUGCAAUAAAGUACAAUACAAACAAAGCCUAUUUCUACUCAGUGCAUGAAUUUGAAAAUAAAUCAAACGCCGAAGCAUAGUUUCUUCAAACAUCUUUUUCCAAAGCCAACGGUUUCAUGGUAACGUAAUUUAGGUGAUGAGCACGCUCGGAUAAAUGCCAUGUGGGCCACAAACUAUCUGCUCCACCAAGAGAAACUGCCGUCCCAACUUAUCCCAGCUUCCUCUGCACCCACCAUCUUCAUUUUUUCCAGUGCAGUAAUAGCAAAAGCAUUGACAUGAUUCAGGACUUACUCCAAAAUUCUCUGCAGCUCUUUCUAGAAAAUACACAGGGUUGUACACUGAGAGUAUCUCCUGACAAACAGGAGAUCUUUUGGGGAUUAUGCUGCCUUCCCCUCUCCCCACCUGCCCUUUCUCUUCCCUUUAUUUCUCAUUGCUUACGAGACGGAUGGUUAUUAUCAGUUUAUUAUUACUGUUUUUCCACAGACUUUCUCAAAUGUCAAGUGAAUCUGAUCUGGAGUUCAGGCCCAUAAUUACACUGGAUCGACUCCAGGAACUCGUAAAUAAAUCGGUGGUGGCUGCAGUGGCUGCCAGAGCUCUGUCGUUCUGCUCUUCUGAGGGUGGACAGAGGCUUUGGCUCUUUUCUAAAAUUCUACACUUGCCAUUGAGUUUUUCUCACCUUCUUUUAAAAGACCCUGGGCUUCCUCGCUCGAGUUUGGCAUAGCCUCACACAGGAAGAGAAAGCUACCGGCCCGCCACAUGGUUGAAUACAUUCAUUUAGAAAAGCAGCUGAAAUGCAGAUUGUUACUUUCUGCUUUCUCCGUAUGUGGAAACCUUGCAGGGGCAGACAUAUUUCUGUCUCUCCUCUGGCCCCUUUGUUGACGUUCAUAGUUUACACUGGGCUUUACAGUGAGGCACAUCUUUGUCAUGGGAUAUCGACUGUGUUGAGCUUUGGAGAUCAGUUCCACAGCUUGCCAAGAAGGUCCCCUACGUGCAGGGAUGCUUGGAUUCAAGGUUAUGCAUUUAAAGGAAGCAGCGGGCACAACAUCCAUUCACAUGGCUUACGGAGCUCUGGGAAGCUGACUGGUAAAGUUAAAUGUUAUUUCCAAGCCUGUUUCUAAUCAUAUCAAUCCAUAUGGAGCACAGCAUCUGGUUACAGAAUGGAAUCUCCACCCAGCACAGGCUAAAACUUAACGCUGUAGAUGUCAUCCUGAUAGCCCUCAACACUUCUUCCCUGAAAAACUUCAAAUAAACUAUUUCAGCACAAGAUGAGAGCUGAGGACAUGUUCAGGAAACGGUUCCUUUGCUUCAGCCUCAUCUGCAGUUAGAACAAGUCCCUAAUAUCUGAAGGGAGGGAGUCCAAUGAAUGGGGCCAGGCUCUUUUCAGUGGUGCCCAAUGAGACCAAUUCUCUUCACAGGGGUCACUGAAAGGAAAGUAGGGAAUAGCAGAGCUUUAUCAGUGAUAACCUUGUUCACUAUCAUACCAAUUGCAUAAAGGUAAACUGCUGGACUCCUUUAAGAUAGGUUGAGCUACUGUUCCUGCUGCAGAGCACUUUUCAAACCAGUGCCAGUUACUUCAUGGAGUGAAAAACACCGAAUUCUUUGCAAAAGAAUGUCAUUUCUUUCCUAUGCCUCCCCCCAGGCAGCCCCAUUGUUUAAAUAAGUAUGUGCUUGUUCCCCAAAUACAGAUGGUUUUGACUCCCAUCAUAAAUCAAACACGCUUGUGUCAAACACAUUAAAAAUGUAGGGAAAAUCAUCUUUUUAACUGAUGUGGAUUUAGAUGCUUGGUCUGACCCAAAUUACGUUUCUUUAAUAAUCUUAAUUCUUUCCUGGUUCUUCUGGGAACAAAAGAUUCCAAUAUAUCAUCAUGCCUCCUUCUCCUCCCCUGGAAUUCCAAUCAAUCUUUUACUCCUUUUUAAAUGUAAAUUUUAAACAAUCAUGUAUCUGGAUCCUGGAUUAAGUCUGCAGGGGGAAAAAAUCUCUGGCAGAAGAUGGUAAGGACUGUGCCUAAGGCAAAAUCCAGACAAAUCGGUUCUCAACUGGAGUAAAAACAGCUCUUGGCAAAUGGAUCACAGGUUUUGGUUGCAAGAGUUCCAUCCAGAACCCAUUCUGAUAUUUGAAAAUAAAUCGGACAGAGUCACAUCAAUCACAACAAAAGCAAACGUAACAUCCAAUUGCACUUUCCCCCACUCAGACAGCCCUCUCAGGCCCAUUUUAUAGUGCAUUUCUUACAGGAUCAAAAUUCCUUGGUGGUUCCAGUGAGAAGCUGCCGCCUUUUUUAUCUGUAGGGAGAAAGAACACCUCUGAUAGUUUCAAUCAGUAUGACAGGAGCUGCGCUGAAAGGCAGCAGGAGGAAGCACACUUUUAAGGUCACUGUCCAUUCUAGGAUUUCUAACCUUGCUAUGGUUUAUUUCUGCCCUCCUUUCUGUGCUAGCCUCGCUCCUUCUCUCCCUCAGUCAGACUGGAAUGACCUGCCUGUGCUUUCUGUUUGAUGUGGGUUUUGUGUAUCUGCACAAAGUAAUUCAUAACCACUGGGCAAAAGGCAGUGCCCACACCGCAUCAUUAGCCAGCAAUUAAGAAACUUCUGCCUGCACAGAGCUAUAAAGCCCAGCAGUGCUUCAGGCCCUCAGUGCUCCUUUAGAGCUCGCCUAGGGCACAAAGCUGCCGUAGUGCUGCAGGGAGGCACUUUGUAGCGUGCCCUGCAGAGUGCAUUUUGGGCACUGAUUUGAAGGUUUUACGAUUCGCCUCCUUUUAGCACGUUUCUGCACCUUGAGAUUCCCUCCUCCUGCGCACGGAGCUGAGCAGAAGGGAAUCAGCCGUUCCGUUGGGUUCCACACACUGUCUGCUCAAGCUCUCAGGUUCAACACCCCCCGAGCGAUUCUCUCUUUGGUAAUUCUUCUCAUGCUCACAUUUCAAGUUGCUUUCUGAGACCUGAUCAAGAGGAACGGGACUGAAAUCCUUCACGUAGUACACUUAGAAAAAUGUCUGUCUAAAUAAAAUGGUUAAAAAAAAAGGCGAUUCUACCUUCUGGGCUAUUUAAUAUCAGAGAACGUGAACGUGUUCCCAUGCCCCCUCACCUCAGCACUGCUGGGGGCUGUGACAGGGAGGGCCACCGGCGCGCUGAGGUGGGGUCCUGGUCUCUUUCCCGGGGGCCCAAAGAACAACUCAUGGCUAAUUUGGAAGGGACCAACGAGGGAGCGGGACAGGCCUCGGUGUGACACGGAGGGCCGUCCGGCGUGACAGGGGGCUCAGGUCAGGGGCCCCUCACACCGCACCCCACGCCGGGCCGGGCGCGGCCCCUUUAAGGAGCGGAGCAGCGCCCGCAGGAG
ensembl:lncRNA